rnacentral:rRNA from 1 species
AGUGAACGCUGGCGGCGUGCUUAACACAUGCAAGUCGAACGAGAACGGACUAUAGCUUGCUAUAGUUGUCAGCUAAGUGGCGCACGGGUGAGUAAUGUAUAGGGAAUAUGCCUAUUACGAAGGGAUAACAAAUGGAAACGUUUGCUAAUACCUUAUACUCCUUAUUAACAGAAGGUAAUAAGGGAAAGAGUUAUGGGUAAGAGAUUAGCCUGUUUUGUAUCAGUUGGUUGGUGGGGUAUGGCUUACCAAGACUAUGACACAUAACUGGUUUGAGAGGAUGCUCAGUCACACUGGAACUGAGACACGGUCCAGACUCCUACGGGAGGCAGCAGUGGGGAAUAUUGCACAAUGGACGAAAGUCUGAUGCAGCAACGCCGCGUGGAGGAUGACACAUUUCGGUGCGUAAACUCCUUUUAUAUGGGAAGAUAAUGACGGUAUUAUAUGAAUAAGCACCAGCUAACUCCGUGCCAGCAGCCGCCGUAA